UUUUAUGGAGAGUUUGAUCCUGGCUCAGGACGAACGCUGGCGGCGUGCCUAAUACAUGCAAGUCGAGCGAACAGAUAAGGAGCUUGCUCCUUUGACGUUAGCGGCGGACGGGUGAGUAACACGUGGGUAACCUACCUUAUAGUUUGGGAUAACUCCGGGAAACCGGGGCUAAUACCGAAUAAUCUAUU
rnacentral:rRNA from 1 species